rnacentral:rRNA from 1 species
AUUGAACGCUGGCGGCAUGCCUUACACAUGCAAGUCGAACGGUAACAGGUUAAGCUGCCGAGUGGCGAACGGGUGAGUAAUGUAUCGGAACGUGCCCAGUCGUGGGGGAUAACUGCCCGAAAGAGCAGCUAAUACCGCAUACGACCUGAGGGUGAAAGCGGGGGAUCGCAAGACCUCGCGCGAUUGGAACGGCCGAUAUCAGAUUAGGUAGUUGGUGAGGUAAAGGCUCACCAAGCCGACGAUCUGUAGCUGGUCUGAGAGGACGACCAGCCACACUGGGACUGAGACACGGACCAGACUCCUACGGGAGGCAGCAGUGGGGAAUUUUGGACAAUGGGCGGAAGCCUGAUCCAGCCAUGCCGCGUGCGGGAAGAAGGCCUUCGGGUUGUAAACGGCUUUUGUCAGGGAAGAAAAGGUUCUGGCUAAUACCUGAGGAUCAUGACGGUACCUGAAGAAUAAGCACCGGCUAACUACGUG